rnacentral:sRNA from 1 species
UCCUCAUUCCCCAAUCAAGCGACUGCACCAACCAUUCAGUUUCAGGGGCUUAGAAUUGGUAAAAGAGUUUGUAGUCUUUACCGCAAGAGAGCCUGAAUAGUCCAGCUGCCACCACCAAGGCCGACGAAAAAGAAACUCCAUUGCCUCCUCCUUCAGCGAUGCAAGCAAUUCGCAUACAGCCAACCCUUGUCCCGAAACCAACACGUUGAGCUCAACUUGCCUAGUUAGCAAUGUCCCCUAGUUCCUCUCCAUUUGCUUCGAGCCAGUGCUCCUUCAAGUAGUUCUGCUGUCCAUCGGUGACACCGAGACUGUCAGUUAGCCAC